UCUCUCCCUCUCCCUCUCCCUCUCCCCUCCUCCUUCCCCAAAUUGCCAAAUCCCUAAAUCUAACCCUAACUCACCCCCUAUCUCUCUCUCUCUCUCUCUCUAUCUGUGAAGUACUCCCGCAAUCGACCUAUUCGCCGUUGCCUCUGCCUUUGGUUGCUGCCGCUGCCUCCGCCUCCGGUUGCCGCCGCCUCCAGCUCGAUCGGGCUUCGCCUCCGCGUCCACUGCUGCUAGAUCCACCUCAAAGAAGUACGAUGGAUAAGAAUUGGAUGCAAUUGGAUGAUAGACUUUCUGACCAAUAUGUUAAUGGAGUUGAUAAUUAUUUGUGAUACCAACAUUGUUCGAGAUGCCAAAAGUAAGUUAUGGGUGAAUAAAAGGUUAAAUGGCGCAAAAUACUACGACGUGUACAC